CUUCGGGGUGUAAAGUUCUGUCAGUGGGGACGAAAAAUGACGGUACCCACAGAGGAAGCACCGGCUAACUCCGUGCCAGCAGCCGCGGUAAUACGGAGGGUGCAAGCGUUGUCCGGAAUCAUUGGGCGUAAAGAGUUCGUAGGCGGUAUGUUAAGUCUGGUGUUAAAUGCAGAAGCUCAACUUCUGUUCGGCACUGGAUACUGGCAAACUAGAAUGCGGUAGAGGUAAAGGGAAUUCCUGGUGUAGCGGUGAAAUGCUUAGAUAUCAGGAGGAACAUCGGUGGCGUAAGCGCUUUACUGGGCCGUAAUUGACACUGAGGAACGAAAGCCAGGGUAGCAAAUGGGAUUAGAUACCCCAGUAGUCCUGGCCGUAAACGAUGGAUACUAGGUGUUGCGGGUAUCGACCCCUGCAGUGCCGCAGCUAACGCGAUAAGUAUCCCGCCUGGGGAGUACGCACGCAAGUGUGAAACUCAAAGGAAUUGACGGGGACCCGCACAAGCGGUGGAACAUGUGGUUUAAUUCGAAGCAACGCGAAAAACCUUACCAGGGCUUGACAUCUGACGAAUCUUGCGGAAACGUGAGAGUGCUCUUCGGAGAGCGUCAAGACAGGUGGUGCACGGUUGUCGUCAGCUCGUGUCGUGAGAUGUUGGGUUAAGUCCCGCAACGAGCGCAACCCUCGUCGUUAGUUGGUGCUAUUGGUACACUGAUAGUAACCUCUCUAGCGAGACUGCCGGUGAUAAACCGGAGGAAGGUGGGGACGACGUCAAAUCAUCAUGCCCCUUAUGCU
rnacentral:rRNA from 1 species